rnacentral:rRNA from 1 species
CGGCGGACGGGUGAGUAAUGCCUAGGAAUCUGCCUGGUAGUGGGGGACGAACGUUUCGAAAGGAACGCUAAUACCGCAUACGUCCUACGGGAGAAAGCAGGGACCUUCGGGCCUUGCGCUAUCAGAUGAGCCUAGGUCGGAUUAGCUAGUUGGUGAGGUAAUGGCUCACCAAGGCGACGAUCCGUAACUGGUCUGAGAGGAUGAUCAGUCACACUGGAACUGAGACACGGUCCAGACUCCUACGGGAGGCAGCAGGG